GCCUGGGGCUUGCCUGGUUACCCCACAUCGCCUUCUUUGCCGGGCGAGCUGGAAGGAGCGGGGGUGCGAGCAGGGAGCGAUCGCAGCCAGGGCAGGAGUCGCAGCUCCUCUCACCGCUGUUUUCAAAGGUUCAUGCGUCUAAAUGACUUCUCAGCAGCUGUCCUCCCUGGAGAACCUCUUUCUUGAAAGAUGAUCCUGCUCUUGUAAUUAAGAACAGCACAGACCUGGUGAGGGCUCUUGUUUUACAAAUGCCCAGUGCAGAUUCUCAAGAGAACAUCUGUGAGAAGAAACAGCACAAAAAGUGUCACCUCUCUUUCCUGCACCAGGUGCCAGUAAAGGAAGGGCUCACAUUUUGGUGCUGGGAAAAAGCGAGUUGUAGUGGGUGACCCAUCUUUUCCAGCUGACUACAUGAAGGUAAACCUGCUCUGGAAUGAAAAAGAAUCAGGUGAUUAGGCUGAUGGGACUGACCACGGUGUUGCUCUUUCAGCCUGCUCCUGACCCUGCAUGACCACAGGUUUGUGUGCUUUCUACACCGGCACUUGUGAGCUUGGGUAUGUCAGGGCACCCUGCAGCAGACACAAAAAUGUGCUGGUGGCCUGUGCC